CUAACAUGGGGACAUCAAGUCUCUCUGCUGUAAAGGCCUACACAUGCCUUCAUUUCUCAAAGCCCCAUCUCCUAUCUCUCCCAUCUGUUUAUUGAUGCCCCUAAAGGUAAUUACAUGUUUGACUGAAGAACACAGACCCACCCCUUUGGGGCUUAAGGAAAGAGAGUCGGCCUUGAGUGAACAGCUCAACAAGAGGAAAGAGACUUUGAAUAACUGCACAAAUAUAAGGGACUCAAGACCUUGAUCAGCAUCCUAAAGAUGAGAAUUCUGCCUGGAAAAAUGUGUGUAGGCAACUGGACUAAAUGUGCAAACAGAUCCAGGCUUGGAGCCAAAGGUGUUUGCUAUUAACCCCUAAAUAAAUGUUGCUUCAUCUCGGAAAAGCUGCGAAAAAACAGGGAUUCAGAAUUGCUGCAGGCUUCUGAUUUGCUGCAGAUUUAUUAAAGUCUUAUGUCAUUUUCCAAAUUAAGAC